CUAGCUUUAGGCAAUAUGGUACAGUAUUACAAUAUAGGCUCCGGAGUUGAAAUCUUGGCUUUUCCUCUUGCUGAUUGUGUCGAUUUUGGUAGCUGAAUAUUUGUUGAAGAAAUACAUCUGGGGACAAGGACCCUUUCUUGAAUCUCAUAAAUCACACAUGCCUUUUCCUCUGAAAUGUAAGGUAUGGCUGCUCCACUUUCUGCCAGCUCUGGUGGGAGGGGAACCUUUCUCACCUCAUU
rnacentral:lncRNA from 1 species